rnacentral:rRNA from 1 species
GAUGAACGCUGGCGGCGUGCUUAACACAUGCAAGUCGAACGGAAAGGCCCAAGCUUGCUUGGGUACUCGAGUGGCGAACGGGUGAGUAACACGUGGGUGAUCUGCCCUGCACUUCGGGAUAAGCCUGGGAAACUGGGUCUAAUACCGGAUAGGACCACUUCUUGGAUGUUUUGGUGGAAAGUUUUUUCGGUGUGGGAUGAGCUCGCGGCCUAUCAGCUUGUUGGUGGGGUAAUGGCCUACCAAGGCGUCGACGGGUAGCCGGCCUGAGAGGGUGUACGGCCACAUUGGGACUGAGAUACGGCCCAGACUCCUACGGGAGGCAGCAGUGGGGAAUAUUGCACAAUGGGCGCAAGCCUGAUGCAGCGACGCCGCGGGGGGGAUGACGGCCUUCGGGUUGUAAACUCCUUUCGCUAGGGACGAAGCGUUUUGUGACGGUACCUGGAGAAGAAGCACCGGCUAACUACGUG